AUUGAACGCUGGCGGCAGGCCUAACACAUGCAAGUCGAGCGAGAGGCGGACGGGUGAGUAAGGUCUGGGAAACUGCCUGCUGGAGGGGGAUAACUACUGGAAACGGUAGCUAAUACCGCACACCAUCAGAUGUGCCCAGAUGGGAUUAGCUAGUGGGUGGGUGAAUGGCUCACCUAGGCGACGAUCCCUAGCGGGUCUGAGAGGAUGACCAGCCACACUGGAACUGAGACACGGUCCAGACUCCUACGGGAGGCAGCAGUGGGGAAUAUUGGAAAAUGGGCGCAAGCCUGAUGCAGCCCGGCCGGGGGGGUGAAGAAGGCCUUGGGGUUGUAAAGCACUUUCAGCGGGGAGGCGUUACCCGCAGAAGAAGCACCGGCUAACUCCGUGCCAGCAGCCGCGGUAAUAC
rnacentral:rRNA from 1 species